rnacentral:lncRNA from 1 species
UUGCUCCCUGAUGCAACUGGCACCACCUGUGGCCAGCGUCUUGAGAAGGUCCUUGGCACUGAGCACUGCCAUAUCCUUCGUGUGCCAUUCAGAACUGAGAAUGGAAUUGUUCGCAAGUGGAUCUCGCGUUUCGAAGUCUGGCCAUACCUGGAGACUUACACCGAUGUAAAUACCAAAUGUUGACUUCUAUUUAAUUUGUUUGUUAAAGAUGAACAUCUUGCUAACUCUUUCUUCAAUUGCUGCCAGGAUGUGGCGCACGAGAUUGCUGGAGAGCUCCAGGCCAAUCCUGACCUGAUCAUUGGAAACUACAGUGAUGGAAACCUUGUUGCUUGUUUGCUUGCCCACAAGAUGGGUGUUAC